GUGCGUGGUGGCUCGAGGCGGGG
rnacentral:miRNA from 1 species